AGUGGGAAUCAUGGGUGAAUAUCGGACAUCGUGUGUCUCUACCCUUGGUGUAGGACUUGGCUCUUUUGUGGCCACACUGUGGAAAAGAAAUAACCGUAGCAGCAGGUGUAGAUGAACACACGUGUCUACGGCCAUAUCACCCUGAACGGCCGUUCCCAGAGCCACAACCCCACCCCUCCGGGGGGUGGAGCUAACUUGGCCACUCCCAUCUCCGCAGAACCCUCUAGAAGAGGUGAUCAGUUCCUUUAAUAAGAAAUGGGAGGGAAUUCAUAGUUGCCUGCAGGCACGCCAGUCACUAGUGAGUCAGUGAAAUAGACGUGAAGGUUCCCCCAAGAGAGUUUGUCUGGGUUUAGAGGACAGGAGCUCAGACAAUGGAGGAAGAGAGCAGAGUCUUAGGGACUGCGAUAGGGUAAAAAAGACCAGCCCAUGGCGUGGGCCCUAUGGUGACAGAACUUUCUAGGGAGCAGGGUUGCUGCAGCUCGGCACUGCCAUGGUGCCUGCCCCCUUUAGGGUUCUAGAGCUUGAUCUGGAAGGAAUGUUAGAGGUUUCCAUGCGAUGCCCUGGUCUGGGGAUAGGAAGAAGGGUAUGCAGUGUUCUUUGACCCCAGUCUGUGAGGCCGAGGACAUCACUGGCUAUCGGAGGGAGAGUAUUGGGGAUUCAGUGAAGCCACGCAUGCGUUCUGUACUGUCCUUGAAUGACGCAGUAAGUGGUUGUUCGUGCCAUUACCACCCACCUUCUGAUAGAGCAGCCAAGGCUUCAAGGAGGCUGUGUUAGGACUGGACUCCUCGUCUUAACAGGAGCUGCCUCCGGGCGAAAUAGAUGUUGGGAAAUGCCUGACAAGUAUCCAUCUCCUGGAGCCGGCAGAGAUGCUCUGAGAGAAGACUCUGAAAGCUGCCACUCAGCCUGGCAGAGCCUCAUCCAUUAGAGCUCUUGACAUUUCUGUGAAGGAGGAGAGGCUGCCCCACCGUGCUGAGGCUCCUUGCUGCUCCACAGACACACCAUGGACACAUCUAUUUACCUACCCCUCCUUCCCCAUUCUGCUGAUUCUGGAGAGAAACCAAGUCAAAACAAA